UGGUUUGAUCCUGGCUCAGGAUGAACGCUGGCGGCAUGCCUAAUACAUGCAAGUCGAACGGAGUGAAGCCUUCGGGUUUCAUUCAGUGGCGAACGGGUGAGUAAUACGCAGGGAACCUGGCCAUGGCAGGGGGAUACACUCUGGAAACGGAGCAUAAGACCCCAUAGGCAGUAAGGCGGCAUCGCCUUGCUGUUAAAGAAAGCUGAAAGGCUUUGGCGAUGGAUGGACCUGCGGUGCAUUAGCUUGUUGGUGAGGCAACGGCUUACCAAGGCGAUGAUGCAUAGCCGGCCUGAGAGGGCGGACGGCCACACUGGGACUGAGACACGGCCCAGACUCCUGCGGGAGGCAGCAGUAGGGAAUUUUCGUCAAUGGGCGCAAGCCUGAACGAGCAAUGCCGCGUGAGUGAGGAAGGUCUUCGGACUGUAAAGCUCUGUUGCCGGGGAAAAAGGGGAAAUGCAGGAAAUGGCAUUUCAUGGAUGGUACCCGGCCAGAAAGCCACGGCUAACUACGUGCCAGCAGCCGCGGUAAUACGUAGGUGGCGAGCGUUAUCCGGAAUGAUUGGGCGUAAAGGGUGCGCAGGCGGUCUGUUAAGUCUGAAGGCAAAGGGAUGAGCUCAACUCAUUUAUGAUUCAGAAACUGGCAGACUUGAGGACAGGAGAGGGCGGUGGAACUCCAUGUGUAGCGGUAAAAUGCGCAGAGAUAUGGAAGAACACCAGUGGCGAAGGCGGCCGCCUGGCCUGUGACUGACGCUGAGGCACGAAAGCGUGGGGAGCAAAUAGGAUUAGAUACCCUAGUAGUCCACGCCGUAAACGAUGAGGAGCAGGUGUUGGGAGUGAAAUCUCAGUGCCGAAGCCAACGCAGUGACUCCUCCGCCUGGGGAGUAUGCACGCAAGUGUGAAACUCAAAGGAAUUGACGGGGGCCCGCACAAGCGGUGGAGUAUGUGGUUUAAUUCGAAGCAACGCGAAGAACCUUACCAGGUUUUGACAUCGGAUGCGAAGGCGCAGAGAUGCGCUGGAGGCUAUCAUCCAGACAGGUGGUGCAUGGUUGUCGUCAGCUCGUGUCGUGAGAUGUUCAGUUAAGUCUGGCAACGAGCGCAACCCCCGUGGUAUGUUACUAACGCAUUUGGGCGAGGACUCAUAUCAGACUGCCGGUGACAAACCGGAGGAAGGCGGGGAUGACGUCAAAUCAUCAUGCCCCUUAUGGCCUGGGCUACACACGUACUACAAUGGCGUCUACAGAGGGAAGCGACCCUGAGAAGGGAAGCGAAACCGGAAAAGGGCGUCCCAGUUCGGAUUGAAGUCUGCAACCCGACUUCAUGAAGAUGGAAUCGCUAGUAAUCGCGGAUCAGCAUGCCGCGGUGAAUACGUUCCCGGGCCUUGUACACACCGCCCGUCAAACCAUGGAAGCCGGCAACGCCCGAAGCCGGUGGCAUAACCUUUUAGGAGUGAGCCGUCGAAGGCGGGGCCGAUGACUGGGGUUAAGUCGUAACAAGGUAUCC
rnacentral:rRNA from 1 species